rnacentral:rRNA from 1 species
AGAGACAGCAGCCGCCGCGGGAAUACAGAGGGUGCGAGCGUUAAUCGGAUUUACUGGGCGUAAAGCGUGCGUAGGCGGCUUCUUAAGUCGGAUGUGAAAUCCCUGAGCUUAACUUAGGAAUUGCAUUCGAUACUGGGAAGCUAGAGUAUGGGAGAGGAUGGUAGAAUUCCAGGUGUAGCGGUGAAAUGCGUAGAGAUCUGGAGGAAUACCGAUGGCGAAGGCAGCUCGCUGGAACGUUACUGACGCUGAGACGCGAAAGCGUGGGGAGCAAACAGGAUUAUACCCCUGUAGUCCCUGUCUCUUAUACAC